AUCCGGUUGAUGAGUCUCUAAUAGGACGAAACUCGUGUUCUGGAU
rfam:Schistosoma rodhaini strain Burundi genome assembly, scaffold: SROB_scaffold0001453